rnacentral:rRNA from 1 species
GACAGAGGGUGCGAGCGUUGUCCGGAAUUAUUGGGCGUAAAGAGCUCGUAGGCGGUUUGUCGCGUCGGCCGUGAAAACUUGGGGCUUAACCCCAAGCCUGCGGUCGAUACGGGCAGACUUGAGUUCGGCAGGGGAGACUGGAAUUCCUGGUGUAGCGGUGAAAUGCGCAGAUAUCAGGAGGAACACCGGUGGCGAAGGCGGGUCUCUGGGCCGAUACUGACGCUGAGGAGCGAAAGCUAGGGGAGCAAACGGG